rnacentral:rRNA from 1 species
AACGGCCGCGGUAUUUUGACCGUGCAAAGGUAGCAUAAUCAUUAGUCUUUUAAAAGGAGGCUGGAAUGAAUGGUUUGACGAAUAACUGACUGUCUCAUUUUUUGUUUAAUUAAAAUUUAACUUUUUAGUCAAAAGGCUAAAAUUUUGUUGGAAGACGAGAAGACCCUAUAGAGCUUUAUAUUUACUUUAUUAUUUAUAUUAUAUUAAUUAUAAUUAUUUUGAGUAAUUAUUUUGUUGGGGUGACAAAAAUAUAUAACUAACUUUUUUAUUUACAAAACAUUGAUUUAUGAAUAUGGGAUCCAUUAUUAUUGAUUGAUAGAUUAAGUUACCUUAGGGAUAACAGCGUAAUCCUCUUCCAGAGUUCAUAUUUACGGGAGGGCUUGCGACCUCGAUGUUGGAUUAAGAUUAUAUUUAGGUGUAGCCGCUUAAUAAAUAGGUCUGUUCGAC